rnacentral:rRNA from 1 species
GAUGAACGCUAGCUACAGGCUUAACACAUGCAAGUCGAGGGGUAACGAGAGGAAAGCUUGCUUUCCUUGUCGACGACCGGCGCACGGGUGAGUAACGCGUAUCCAACCUGCCCCCAACUAGGGAAUAACCUUGCGAAAGUAAGACUAAUACCCUAUAAUUUCCUCAGAUGUCAUCUGACGAGGAAUAGAGAUUUAUCGGUUGUGGAUGGGGAUGCGUCUGAUUAGCUUGUUGGCGGGGUAACGGCCCACCAAGGCAACGAUCAGUAGGGGUUCUGGGAGGAAGGUCCCCCACAUUGGAACUGGGACACGGGCCAAACUCCUACGGGAGGCAGCAGUGAGGAAUAUUGGUCAAUGGGCGGAAGCCUGAACCAGCCAAGUAGCGUGCAGGAUGACGGCCCUAUGGGUUGUAAACUGCUUUUAUACAGGAAUAAAGUUAGCCACGUGUGGUUAUUUGUAGGUACUGUAUGAAUAAGGACCGGCUAAUUCCGUGCCAGCAGCCGCCGUAA